GACGAACGCUGGCGGCGUGCCUAACACAUGCAAGUCGAACGAAGCAUUUGAAUGGAUCCCUUCGGGGUGAAGCUCUUAUGACUUAGUGGCGGACGGGUGAGUAACGCGUGAGUAACCUGCCUUUCAGAGGGGGAUAACAGUUGGAAACGACUGCUAAUACCGCAUAACGUAUUUUUAUCGCAUGAUAGAGAUACCAAAGCUGAGGCGCUGAAAGAUGGACUCGCGUCUGAUUAGAUAGUUGGUGAGGUAACGGCUCACCAAGUCGACGAUCAGUAGCCGGACUGAGAGGUUGAACGGCCACAUUGGGACUGAGACACGGCCCAGACUCCUACGGGAGGCAGCAGUGGGGAAUAUUGCACAAUGGGGGAAAACCCUGAUGCAGCGACGCCGCGUGAGCGAAGAAGAUCUUCGGAUUGUAAAGCUCUGUCUUAGGGGACGAUAAUGACGGUACCUGAGAGGAAGCCACGGCUAACUACGUGCCAGCA
rnacentral:rRNA from 1 species